GGUCAAGAAACUAAGGGCGCAAGGCGGAUGCCUUGGCACCAGGAGGCGAAGAAGGACGUGACAAGCAACGAAAACCUCGAGUAGGAGCAAAUAUCCAGUGACUCGGGGGAAUCCGAAUGGGGAAACCUACUAGACACACUCUAGUAUCCAUACGUAAAUACAUAGCGUAUGGAGGCGAAUGUUCUGAACUGAAACAUCUAAGUAGGAACAAGAAAAGAAAGAAAACUCGAUUCUCCAAGUAGCGGCGAGCGAACAGAGAGAAGCCCAUUAAAGUAAGACUAAACUGAUAGACAAAUCUUAUGGAAAGAAGAACCAAAGAAAGUAACAGUCUUGUAGUCGAAAUCAGAAUAGAGACACUUUAAGAAGAGUACCACGGAGCACGUGAAAUUCUGUGGGAAGAUAGGGGGACCACCCCCUAAGGCUAAAUACUACCUGGUGACCGAUAGCGAAUAGUACCGUGAGGGAAAGGUGAAAAGAACCCCGGGAGGGGAGUGAAAUAGAACCUGAAACCUUGCGCCUACAAGCAGACAGAGGAAGAAGACUUCUAAUGUCGUACUUUUUGUAGAACGGGCCAGCGAGUUACGAUACGUAGCAAGAUUAAACAUUUAAGAUGUGAAGUCGGCGUUUAAAAGCUAUCGGAUGACCUGUGGAUAGGGGUGAAAAGCCAAUCGAACUCGGAUAUAGCUGGUUCUCCUCGAAAUAGCUUUAGGGCUAGCCUUGUUUUAGAUUACAGGAGGUAGAGCACUGAAUAGUCUAGGGGAAGUAAUUCUACCGAAACUUAUCAAACUCCGAAUGCCUGAAAAUCGAUGAACAGGAGUCAGACCAUGAGGGAUAAGCUUCAUAGUCAAAAGGGAAACAGCCCAGACCACCAGUUAAGGUCCCAAAAUACAGAUUAAGUGGGAAAGGAUGUAAUACUACUCAGACAACCAGGAUGUUGGCUCAGAAGCAGCCAUACAUUUAAAGAGUGCGUAAUAGCUCACUGGUCAAGUGGUAAUGCGCCGAAGAUGAACGGGGCUAAAUCUGAUACCGAAACUGUGGGAUAGAAAAGCAAUUAUGCGAGAAGUAUGAAGAUGAGAAGAAGCAAAAAGCGUAAGCAAUUGUGGAUUAUAUACAAGUGAGAAUGCUGGCAUGAGUAGCGAAAAGGGAUGUGAGAAUCAUCCCCGUCGAAAGCCCAAGGAUUCCUGAGCAAGGCUCGUCCUCUCAGGGUAAGUCGGGACCUAAGGCGAGGCCGAAAGGCGUAGUCGAUGGACAACAGGUAGAAAUUCCUGUACUACAAGAUUGUGAUUGAGAGAAGUACUGACGCAGAAGGAAAAGUCGAGCGUGUGAAUGGUUGUGCACGUCCAAGUAACAAGCCAGAAUAUACAGGCAAAUCCGUAUAUUCGUCAACGUAAGUUAUCAUGGGGAGCAGAAAGAUGCGAAGCGACAGAUUCAAACUGCCAAGAAAAGGUGCUAUCGAAUAAUCUUGUACCCGUACCGCAAACCGACACAGGUAGGCAAGAAGAGAAUUCUAAGACGCGCGGAAGAACCUUUGUUAAGGAACUCGGCAAAAUAAUCCCGUAAGUUAGCGAGAAGGGAUGCCUAAGAAAUUAGGUCGCAGAGAAUAGGCCCAAGCGACUGUUUACCAAAAACACAAGUAUCUGCUAAAUCGAAAGAUGAAGUAUAGGUGCUGACACCUGCCCGGUGCUGGAAGGUCAAGGGGACUUGUUAGAGCAAUCGAAGCAACGAACUUAAGCCCCAGUAAACGGCGGCCGUAACUAUAACGGUCCUAAGGUAGCGAAAUUCCUUGUCGGGUAAGUUCCGACCCGCACGAAAGGUGUAACGAUGAAUUUUGGGAUUAAAUGUACAGGAUAGGUGGGAGACAAAGAAGCAAGCUCGCCAGAGUUUGCAGAGUCACUGUUGGGAUACCACCCUUUUAAUUCUAAAGUUCUAACUAGUUACCAUGAAGCUGGUAAUAGGACACUGUCAGUCGGGCAGUUUGACUGGGGCGGUCGCCUCCAAAAAAGUAACGGAGGCGUUCAAAGGUUCGCUCAGAAUGGUUGGAAAUCAUUCAAAGAGUACAAAGGCAAAAGCGAGCUUAACUGCGAGACAUACAGGUCGAGCAGAGACGAAAGUCGGACUUAGUGAUCCGGUGGUACCGAGUGGAAGGGCCAUCGCUCAACGGAUAAAAGCUACCCCGGGGAUAACAGGCUUAUCUCCCCCAAGAGUCCACAUCGACGGGGAGGUUUGGCACCUCGAUGU
rnacentral:rRNA from 1 species